rnacentral:rRNA from 1 species
AUAUGAGUUUGAUCCUGGCUCAGGAUGAACGCUGGCGGCGUGCCUAAUACAUGCAAGUCGAGCGAACGGAUAAGGAGCUUGCUCCUUUGAAGUUAGCGGCGGACGGGUGAGUAACACGUGGGUAACCUACCUAUAAGACUGGGAUAACUUCGGGAAACCGGAGCUAAUACCGGAUAACAUUUAGAACCGCAUGGUUCUAAAGUGAAAGAUGGUUUUGCUAUCACUUAUAGAUGGACCCGCGCCGUAUUAGCUAGUUGGUAAGGUAACGGCUUACCAAGGCGACGAUACGUAGCCGACCUGAGAGGGUGAUCGGCCACACUGGGACUGAGAUACGGCCCAGACUCCUACGGGAGGCAGCAGUGGGGAAUAUUGCACAAUGGGCGGAAGCCUGAUGCAGCGACGCCGCGUGGGGGAUGACGGUCUUCGGAUUGUAAACCCCUUUCAGUAGGGACGAAGCGAGAGUGACGGUACCUGCAGAAGAAGCACCGGCCAACUACGUGCCAGCAGCCGCGGUAAUACGUAGGGUGCGAGCGUUGUCCGGAUUUAUUGGGCGUAAAGGGCUCGUAGGUGGUUGAUCGCGUCGGAAGUGUAAUCUUGGGGCUUAACCCUGAGCGUGCUUUCGAUACGGGUUGACUUGAGGAAGGUAGGGGAGAAUGGAAUUCCUGGUGGAGCGGUGGAAUGCGCAGAUAUCA